rnacentral:rRNA from 1 species
GAUGAACGCUGGCGGCGUGCCUAAUACAUGCAAGUCGAGCGAACGGACGAGAAGCUUGCUUCUCUGAUGUAAGCGGCGGACGGGUGAGUAACACGUGGGUAACCCACCUAUAAGACUGGGAUAACUUCCGGAAACCGUAACCAAUUCCGGCUAAUCUUUUGAACAGCAUGGUUCAAAAGUUAAAGACGGUCUUGCUUUCACUUAUAGAUGGAUCCGCGCGGCAUUAGCUAGUUGGUGAGGUAACGGCUUACCAAGGCAACGAUGCAUAGCCGACCUGAGAGGAUGAUCGGCCACACUGGAACUGAGACACGGUCCAGACUCCUACGGGAGGCAGCAGUAGGGAAUCUUGCGCAAUGGGCGAAAGCCUGACGGAGCAACGCCGCGUGAGUGAUGAAGGCCUUCGGAUCGUAAAGCUCUGUUAUUAGGGAAGAACAUAUGUGUAAGUAACUGUGCACAUCUUGACGGUACCUAAUCAGAAAGCCACGGCUAACUACGUG